UUUGGGUGAGCCUGUGGUGGGCUAAGUUGACCCAAGAAGAUACUAUUGGGCCAGUAAUCUGAGGCCUUAUUUUGAUGAAUUUGAUUUGAUUCAGACUUGGGAUUUGACCCAAUAUUUGUUUCGAACUCGAGAUUUGACCCGGGUUGUUACAUAUGGUAUCAAAGCUGACUCUCGAAAGCUCGGGUCGGGUCAUCCGAUCGAGUUGCCGGAGGUGGGGACACGAAG
rnacentral:lncRNA from 1 species